GUGUUCCCCCUCGCACACUCCGGCUCCCGUGCGCCGUUCACACCCUCCUGGCGACCGCUCGCUACGUUUUUAACC
rnacentral:sRNA from 2 species